rnacentral:lncRNA from 1 species
CACAAGGAUACCACAUAGAAGUGGAGACACUGAACUGAGCUUCUGGGGAAAAAAAUCUUGUUGAAAGACUUCUUAUAACUUACAGGAAUAAACUGAUCCCUACAGAAAUUCAAUGACUUUUCCAAAUUCAUACAGCCAGCAAGUGAUAUUUUUAGUUAUAUAUUUUGAGUAGAGUGAUGGAGGAAAGAGUUAAGAAGGUGAAUUUUGGAGAAUAUUUCAAGGCCAAAAAGUCAAGAAUGGAUUGUCUUAAGCUGAGCAAAGAACUACAGAAUUGAUUGUACAACAGCUUUUUGUCUGAAGAUACAGACA